CAAGGCUUCGAUCGGUAGCUGGUCUGAGAGGAUGAUCAGCCACACUGGGACUGAGACACGGCCCAGACUCCUACGGGAGGCAGCAGCAAGGAAUCUUGGGCAAUGGGCGAAAGCCUGACCCAGCAACGCCGCGUGAGGGAUGAAGGCUUUCGGGUUGUAAACCUCUUUUCAUAGGGAAGAAUAAUGACGGUACCUGUGGAAUAAGCUUCGGCUAACUACGUGCCAGCAGCCGCGGUAAUACGUAGGAAGCAAGCGUUAUCCGGAUUUAUUGGGCGUAAAGUGAGCGUAGGUGGUCUUUCAAGUUGGAUGUGAAAUUUCCCGGCUUAACCGGGACGAGUCAUUCAAUACUGUUGGACUAGAGUACAGCAGGAGAAAACGGAAUUCCCGGUGUAGUGGUAAAAUGCGUAGAUAUCGGGAGGAACACCAGAGGCGAAGGCGGUUUUCUAGGUUGUCACUGACACUGAGGCUCGAAAGCGUGGGGAGCGAACAGAAUUAGAUACUCUGGUAGUCCACGCCUUAAACUAUGGACACUAGGUAUAGGGAGUAUCGACCCUCUCUGUGCCGAAGCUAACGCUUUAAGUGUCCCGCCUGGGGAGUACGGUCGCAAGGCUAAAACUCAAAGGAAUUGACGG
rnacentral:rRNA from 1 species